GAAGGUUUAGCUCAGUGGUAGAGCAUGUGCUUAGCAUGCACGAGGUCCUGGAUUCAAUCCCCAGUACCUCCA
rnacentral:tRNA from 1 species